UGUAGGUUCUACUCCUCAUUGCACACCGAUUGCAGCGGGGCUGGGAAGAGGGGGCCCUGGGACAUUUAUCCCCUGCCCGCCUGCUCCGCGAGGGAGGCUAGGGUGUCCUGCUCCCUCCGUGGGGACACCGGAGCCGGCCGCUAGAGCUCACUUAGCCCAGCAUCCGUCUUUUGCUGAUGGGAAAAGCUAAGCAACGUGUGCUGCCAAGACCUGGAGUUCUCCAGGCGGGGAGGCAAGCCAGACCUCGUUGCCCAAGACUUACGAGGCGAGCUCUGGCCAUCGGUCUGUCUGUCUGGAUUUACCUGUCCACUGCUGGCUCAUCACAGCCCUCUGGCCGGCGGAUUCUCAACAUGUUCCUGAUGAGAUUAGAAGCUCCUGCAGCACACGGCUGGGAUGUCAGCAACCCUCCGCCGGAAAGAGUAAAAUAGAGCAGAUCCCUGGCCCUGGAGGACUCCUCGGCCUCCAAUUCAUGGGCAGCGCGCCCUGCGCUGAGGUGGCUGGGACACUGGCCGCCCGGACACUGG